GGCAAAGCAGAGCUGAUUCACUACCUUUCCCGCACUCUCUAAACUGUUGCCUGCGAAAGAGGAACUGGGGACUUAACUAUUCAGGCUGCUUCCAUUCAGGUGUUCCGGAAGGAUGGUAUAUACACAUCCAAAGGGACAAUUCUCUUGGCUGUUCGGGGUUUACAAGGAGCAGGCAUCUGAAACUGCGCUCUGAAGCUAUAUUCCAGAGAUGUUCCUGAACAACUUGCCCGUCGGUGUAAGCUUCAAAAGGGAUCCUUAAAAGGCCAGCCCCAUUCAUCCCACGAGCCACGAGAAAGGAAUCCCUCUCCAUGUUGAUGGAUGAGCAAAGCUUCACAUUCCCUUCUCAUUUUAAGGAGCAAAAUUCAUGGUC